rnacentral:rRNA from 1 species
UACGUAGGGGGCUAGCGUUGUCCGGAUUUAUUGGGCGUAAAGAGCGUGUAGGCGGCCAGGUAGGUCCGUUGUGAAAACUCGAGGCUCAACCUCGAGACGUCGAUGGAAACCAUCUGGCUAGAGUCCGGAAGAGGAGAGUGGAAUUCCUGGUGUAGCGGUGGAAUGCGCAGAUAUCAGGAGGAACACCGGUGGCGAAGGCGGGUCUCUGGGCAGUAACUGACGCUGAGGAGCGAAAGCGUGGGGAGCGAACAGG